UACGGAGGGGGCGAGCGUUAUUCGGAAUUAUUGGGCGUAAAGGGCGCGUAGGCGGCUAUUCAAGUCAAAGGUGAAAUCCCUCGGCUCAACUGAGGAACUGCCUUUGAAACUGGAUGGCUUGAGUCCGGGAGGGGGUAGCGGAAUUCCCAGUGUAGCGGUGAAAUGCGUAGAUAUUGGGAGGAACACCAGUGGCGAAGGCGGCUACCUGGACCGGAACUGACGCUGAUGCGCGAAAGCGUGGGUAGCAAAC
rnacentral:rRNA from 1 species